GAUGGUGUUGUCACAAACUGUGGUUUCUCCGAUCAAUUUAAAUGUUUACUAUAGACCAAAAGGAGAGAUUAUUAAAUCGUUUAAUGUUUAUACAGAGUAAUUAUAGGAAGUUCUUUUUUUGUACAGUAUUUUUCAGAUAUAAAUACUGACAAUGUAUUUUGGAAGACAUAUAUUAUAUAUAGAAAAGAGAAAAAAAGGAAAACUAUUCCGUGUUUUAAAAUUAUAUAGCAAAGAUAUAUAUUCACCAAUGCUGUUCAGAGGAGUGCUUGGGGGCUUUUGAAAUCUUUAAUAUUUUAAACCUAUUACUGACACAUCAGCAUGUUUUCUGCUUAAAAUUAAAAUUUUAUGACAAUACUGAGGCUUGCUGUGACGACUCCUGCUCCAACGCUUUCUUGUUUCUUAUUAGGUCUCAGAAGGAAGUCAGUUAACGUCACCCAAAAGCACAAAACGGGUUUUAGUCAAAUAUUUAUUGGAUGAUCCAGUGUUUUUUAGGAAAAGCAUCUGCCACAUAAAUGUUCACUUCAGGAUUCUGAGUCGUUGGAAUGGAGUAUGGCUGCCAGAGCCCCAGAUGAUUUUGUUCGCUUUCGGCCUGUGUAUCUAUCUCACGCAGUGUAAGGUUGACCUCGGUGCUAUGUGUACGGCUUAGAGUUUGAUAGCUGUUUUGACUUUAAAGAUGGCUGUUAUUUUGUUUCACUGAGUUGUAUAAUGUCAAGAGAGUCUGCUGUUUCUUCAAAAGCACAUUUUUGUGCUCGAUUAAAAUCCCCUUCCAUCCAUGGAUGUUUUCCGGUCUCCUGCCUCCACAGUAUCUGACUUCUCUGCGGAUCCAGUGAUGCCCUCCCCCCUCCCUCAGCCACUCCGCUGUCCAGUGUCACAGAUCUGGAAAACGAGACCUGUAGGUUUCUUCCCAGGUUCCUGUUGUAUUCCACGGUGAGAGAUGAGAGAGUGAGAGAAAUAAAAUACAUUUUGCAAGCAAAUUACUGAUUAAAAAAAAUGUUUCAACCAUGUUGUAUAGAACUGAAUAAGAGAUAAUUCAGUAAUAGCCAUGGGACACCAAAAAGUUGGUCCUUUUGAAGAUAGAGAAAGAGAGGGAUUGCAGAACUGUUCAAUGACAGUGCUUGCCAGGGCACAGAUGAGUACUUAAGGAGAGAAGUGUUCAAGGGUUGCACUGUGGCCCACCCAGACACAUGGAACCAUCCAGUACUCGAUGAAGAAAAGCAUGCCUGGCCUUUCUUGGAAUUGUUUUUACCAAAUAAACAUCACAAAUGUUUUCUGCAGAAGAUAUAAAAAGAUCAUAAUAAAACUUAUUCUUUUGUAUACCAGGAAAGGUUUGUAGAAAACCUACCUCAUUCAAAAC
rnacentral:lncRNA from 1 species